rnacentral:rRNA from 1 species
AGGCUACACAUGCAAGUCGAGCGGAUGACAGGAGCUUGCUCCUGAAUUCAGCGGCGGACGGGUGAGUAAUGCCUAGGAAUCUGCCUGGUAGUGGGGGACAACGUUUCGAAAGGAACGCUAAUACCGCAUACGUCCUACGGGAGAAAGCAGGGGACCUUCGGGCCUUGCGCUAUCAGAUGAGCCUAGGUCGGAUUAGCUAGUUGGUGAGGUAAUGGCUCACCAAGGCGACGAUCCGUAACUGGUCUGAGAGGAUGAUCAGUCACACUGGAACUGAGACACGGUCCAGACUCCUACGGGAGGCAGCAGUGGGGAAUAUUGGACAAUGGGCGAAAGCCUGAUCCAGCCAUGCCGCGUGUGUGAAGAAGGUCUUCGGAUUGUAAAGCACUUUAAGUUGGGAGGAAGGGCAUUAACCUAAUACGUUAGUGUUUUGACGUUACCGACAGAAUAAGCACCGGCUAACUCUGUGCCAGCAGCCGCGGUAAUACAGAGGGUGCAAGCGUUAAUCGGAAUUACUGGGCGUAAAGCGCGCGUA